UAGUCCACGCCGUAAACGAUGUAUGCUUGGUGUUAGAACAAAUUGUUGUUCUAGUGCCGGAGAUAAUUCGUUAAGCAUACCACCUGGGAAGUACGAUCGCAAGGUUGAAACUCAAAGGAAUUGACGGGGGCCCGCACAAGCGGUGGAGUAUGUGGUUUAAUUCGAAGCAACGCGCAGAACCUUACCUACCCUUAACAUUUCACGACGUAUACAGAGAUGUAUAUUUCUCUUCGGAGACGUGAGGAUAGGUGCUGCAUGGCUGUCGUCAGCUCGUGUCGUAAGAUGUCUGGUUAAGUCCAAUAACGAGCGCAACCCUUAUCCUUAGUUACCAGCAUUAAGUUGGGGACUCUAGGGAGACUGCCGGUGUUAAACCGGAGGAAGGCGGGGAUGACGUCAAGUCCUCAUGGCCCUUACGGGUAGGGCUACACACGUACUACAAUGGCAGAUACAAACCGUUUGCAAAGCCGCGAGGUUGAGCUAAUCGGUAAAACACUGUCCCAGUCCGGAUUGGAGUCUGCAACUCGACUCCA
rnacentral:rRNA from 1 species